GACGAACGCUGGCGGCGUGCUUAACACAUGCAAGUCGAACGGAAAGGCCCUGCUUUUGUGGGGUGCUCGAGUGGCGAACGGGUGAGUAACACGUGAGUAACCUGCCCUUGACUUUGGGAUAACUUCAGGAAACUGGGGCUAAUACCGGAUAGGAGCUCCUGCUGCAUGGGGGGGGUUGGAAAGUUUCGGCGGUUGGGGAUGGAUUCGCGGCUUAUCAGCUUGUUGGUGGGGUAGUGGCUUACCAAGGCUUUGACGGGUAGCCGGCCUGAGAGGGUGACCGGCCACAUUGGGACUGAGAUACGGCCCAGACUCCUACGGGAGGCAGCAGUGGGGAAUAUUGCACAAUGGGCGGAAGCCUGAUGCAGCAACGCCGCGUGCGGGAUGACGGCCUUCGGGUUGUAAACCGCUUUCGCCUGUGACGAAGCGUGAGUGACGGUAAUGGGUAAAGAAGCACCGGCUAACUACGUG
rnacentral:rRNA from 1 species